UACGUAGGGUGCAAGCGUUAAUCGGAAUUACUGGGCGUAAAGCGUGCGCAGGCGGUUCGGAAAGAGAGGUGUGAAAUCCCAGGGCUUAACCUUGGAACUGCACUUCUAACUACCGGGCUAGAGUACGUCAGAGGGGGGUAGAAUUCCACGUGUAGCAGUGAAAUGCGUAGAGAUGUGGAGGAAUACCGAUGGCGAAGGCAGCCCCCUGGGAUGAUACUGACGCUGAAGCGCGAAAGCGUGGGGAGCGAACAGG
rnacentral:rRNA from 1 species